ensembl:snoRNA small nucleolar RNA, C/D box 100
GCUGURCAAUGAUGAUAUUUUGGCUCCCUCUACUGACACUAGUGAGGAAAGCAGCCAUACGUUACCCAAUGUUUCUGAGAGUACAGC